AGGGCCAGAGAGAGAGAGGGUGGGCAGAGGGCCAGCAGGAGGGGCCCUGCCACCCACCCAAGGCCUAGGACAGGGAAGAGGGGAGUCAGAGCUGAGCCAGCCAAGAGCGUGUGCGCCUGCUGCUCCAUUUCCACAGAAGGGAAGACUGAGAGGAUACGACCAAAGGGGGCAGAGGCAGAACUCAGGUCUCUGAAGGGCCCCCGUAUCCUGUCAUUGGCCCCAGCGGGCCCGUCUUCCCUCAGGAAGCCCGAGGCUGGGGCGUUAACCCAGGGCUCUGAGGAUUAGUCACGGACACCCUAGGCUUCUUGCCUACUCUGAAGCUGGUGUGAGCCCAGCAGAGGCUCUGAAGGGGUCAGGCUGGGUCAGAGGGUUAAGAGAGAGGUUCUUAUGCUUUGGGUAUACUGAUGGAAGCUAUGGCCCCUCACAGAACAACAGCGUUUGCAUAUAUACAUGUAAGGAGGCUUGUCUAGACCAAAUCCUCUGGUUUGGGUCCAGGGAGCAGAAGCGAGGAAGGGUCAGUGCUGGGCCCUUGGGUCCGUCCCCCACCACCUCUCACUAGGCCAGGGACCCUGCUCCUGAGCUGUGCACACACCAGCCCCUCCACUCACCCACACACACCCAGCCUCCGGUCUCUGUGGCAGGUACGGCUGGCCUGCAUCUUUUCAGAUUGGAUCCUUAAGGCAGUCAGGGUCUGGGGGCCGCCACUGCUGGAGUGGGGACAUUCAGGGCAAAUGGGAAUAGGGGGAAGAGGAAGGCCUAUGACCCUCAUGUCCUGAUGGUUCCUGGGGGAGUGUGGGAGGUGCCAGCCCUCAGCUCCCACAGACCCCUGACCCCUGGCCAGCAGCUCUCCAGGGCGCUUAGAGGCUUGGCUCAGGAGGGGAAGCCAGGGCUGUGGGAAGUGGGCGGGGCCUGUGCAGCCACCUCUGUGAGCUCAGGAGAGUUGACAAUGCCUCCAGCAGGCAGGCCAUGAAGGGGAACAGGAACACUUCUCCCUGACGCCACACCCCCAUGUAGACAGAUGUCCCGUGCAGCUUGGUGGGGGGCUCCUUCCAGACAGCUCCUAGAAUCCAGGGGCUAAAGACACACUUCCUCCCUCUGCCAGGUCUCUCCAGGCCCUCGUGCUCACACCGGGCCUCACCUCCCACCUCAGUUACCAAUCCCAGGCUCCCUGAGCAGGGAUCAGAAUGCAGUUGGUUCCAGGGCUGCAGAGAUGGUUCCUGUCCUGAAGAGCCCUGAGAAAUAGGUCAAGCAUUGCCAUCUCUUGAAGGACAGGGUUGCCACCUGCUCUUUGACAGGCAGAGACUGACAGCGGGCCAGGAGAGGUGCCCUGACAGAUGAGACAUGUACCAGAGAACCAACGUGAACGUAACAUCCUUCUCCAGGGGCCUCACUAUCAACCAGCUGUUUGGCAUGAAAUUUCCCAGACAGAUUUCAGUGCCAAAUCUUUCCCCAUUCUUACUGGAAAUCUCUUUAAAUGAUUGUAUUACAUAUUUCCCUGGGCUCUGUUAACCUUAUGUGAGUUGAACAUCAGUUCCAUCUUUUUUUGGCCAGGGGGAUAAAAACUUUCAUUGUAAGCACUAAAUACAUUUGCAAAAUGAUA